rnacentral:rRNA from 1 species
AUUGAACGCUGGCGGCAGGCUUAACACAUGCAAGUCGAACGGUAAUAGGGUGCUUGCACCGCUGACGAGUGGCGAACGGGUGAGUAAUGCGUCGGAACGUGCCGAGUAGUGGGGGAUAACGCAGCGAAAGUUGUGCUAAUACCGCAUACGUACUGAGGUAGAAAGUGGGGGGCCUUCGGGCCUCACGCUAUUCGAGCGGCCGACGUCUGAUUAGCUAGUAGGUGAGGUAAAGGCUCACCUGGGCGACGAUCAGUAGCGGGUCUGAGAGGAUGAUCCGCCACACUGGGACUGAGACGCGGCCCAGACUCCUACGGGAGGCAGCAGUGGGGAAUUUUGGACAAUGGGCGAAAGCCUGAUCCAGCCAUGGCGCGUGUCUGAAGAAGGCCUUCGGGUUGUAAAGGACUUUUGUCAGGGAGGAAAUCCCUAGUGCUAAUAACACUGGGGGAUGACAGUACCUGAAGAAUAAGCACCGGCUAACUACGUGCCAGCCGCCGCCGUAA